GAUGAACGCUGACAGAAUGCUUAACACAUGCAAGUCAACUGUGGCGGACGGGUGAGUAACGCGUAAAGAACUUGCCUCACAGCUAGGGACACCAUUUGGAAACGAAUGCUAAUACCUGAUACUGUGAGAGAGCUUUGCGUCCCAUUAGCUCGUUGGAGCGGUAAAGGCUCACCAAGGCGAUGAUGGGUAGCCGGCCUGCGAGGGUGAUCGGCCAAAAGGGGACUGGGACGCAGCCCUUACUCCUACUGGGGGCAGCAGGGAGGAAUAUUGGACAAUGGACCAGAGUCGUAUCCAGCAAUUCUGUGUUAAAGAUGAAUUUUUCGGAAUGGAAUGUGCAGUCAUUUGGAAAGCGGUACCAACAGAAGAAGUGACGGCUAAAUACGUGCCAGCAGCCGCGGUAAUAC
rnacentral:rRNA from 1 species